rnacentral:lncRNA from 1 species
CCAGACUGCCCCAGGCCGCUGGCAGGACCGCCCUGGCUUCUUCAAAUGCCCAGAAAUAUUGGGUUGAACCUUUCAGCAGUCUGCAGGUUAAACAGUGAAGCAUAUUUUUCACCCUCUGGCCAUUUCAUGGCUUAGCAAAGAUGAAGUCCUGUGCAAAACUGGCCAGUGGCAGCUUCUCUCUCCCAUUCCCUCUGCUUGGAGCACAUACUUGGCACCAUAUCAUGAGGUCUUCAACUUGGAAACUUGAUUUUUCACUCGAACCCUGCAGUGUCUCUCCUGUCUGGCAGCCUGAUAGAGAUUUAAGGAAAUGUGGUGCAUACCCUUGCAGUAAUAAAACCAUUGCAAGAAUGGGAAGAUUCCAGGAAUAGCAAAUGUGGUAUUACUCAAUAAACAUUAAGUAACAAACA